AGUGAACGCUGGCGGUAGGCCUAACACAUGCCAGUCGAACGGCAGCACAGUAAGAGCUUGCUCUUACGGGUGGCGAGUGGCGGACGGGUGAGGAAUAAAUCGGAAUCUACUUUUUCGUGGGGGAUAACGUAGGGAAACUUACGCUAAUACCGCAUACGACCUACGGGUGAAAGCAGGGGAUCUUCGGACCUUGCGCGAUUGAAUGAGCCGAUGUCGGAUUAGCUAGUUGGCGGGGUAAAGGCCCACCAAGGCGACGAUCCGUAGCUGGUCUGAGAGGAUGAUCAGCCACACUGGAACUGAGACACGGUCCAGACUCCUACGGGAGGCAGCAGUGGGGAAUAUUGGACAAUGGGCGCAAGCCUGAUCCAGCCAUACCGCGUGAGUGAAGAAGGCCUUCGGGUUGUAAAGCCCUUUUGUUGGGAAAGAAAAGCAGCAGGUUAAUACCCCGCUGUUCUGACGGUACCCAAAGAAUAAGCACCGGCUAACUUCGUG
rnacentral:rRNA from 1 species